rnacentral:siRNA from 1 species
GACCCUUAUUAGAUCCACGAUAGA